rnacentral:rRNA from 1 species
AUUGAACGCUGGCGGCAGGCCUAACACAUGCAAGUCGAGCGGAUGACGGGAGCUUGCUCCUUGAUUCAGCGGCGGACGGGUGAGUAAUGCCUAGGAAUCUGCCUGGUAGUGGGGGACAACGUUCCGAAAGGAGCGCUAAUACCGCAUACGUCCUACGGGAGAAAGUGGGGGAUCUUCGGACCUCACGCUAUCAGAUGAGCCUAGGUCGGAUUAGCUAGUUGGUGAGGUAAAGGCUCACCAAGGCGACGAUCCGUAACUGGUCUGAGAGGAUGAUCAGUCACACUGGAACUGAGACACGGUCCAG